rnacentral:rRNA from 1 species
UAGCGUAGGGUGCGAGCGUUUAAUUCGGAAAUUACUGGGCGUAAAGCGUGCGCAGGCGGUUCGUUUGUGUCGGCGGUGAAAAGCCCCGGGCUUUAACCCGUGGGAAUGGCCGGUUGAAACUGGCGAACUGGAGUGUGGCAGGAGGGGGUGGAAUUCCGCGUGUAGCAGUGAAAUGCGUAGAGAUGUGGAGGAAUACCGAUGGC